rnacentral:rRNA from 1 species
GAUGAACGCUGGCGGCGUGCUUAACACAUGCAAGUCGAACGAAGCACCUCUCCCGAAGAUUGACACAGCUUGCUGUAGAUUGAUUCAUUUGAGGUGACUGAGUGGCGGACGGGUGAGUAACGCGUGGGUAACCUGCCUCAUAGAGGGGGACAACAGUUGGAAACGACUGCUAAUACCGCAUAGUAAGAAGAAUUCGCAUGUUUUCUUCUUGAAAGAUUUAUCGCUAUGAGAUGGACCCGCGUCUGAUUAGCUAGUUGGUAAGGUAACGGCUUACCAAGGCGACGAUCAGUAGCCGGCUUGAGAGAGUGCACGGCCACAUUGGGACUGAGACACGGCCCAAACUCCUACGGGAGGCAGCAGUGGGGAAUAUUGCACAAUGGGGGAAACCCUGAUGCAGCGACGCCGCGUGAGUGAAGAAGUAUUUCGGUAUGUAAAGCUCUAUCAGCAGGGAAGAUAAUGACGGUACCUGACUAAGAAGCCCCGGCUAACUACGUG